GACGAACGCUGGCGGCGUGCUUAACACAUGCAAGUCGAACGAUGAAGCACCUUCGGGUGUGGAUUAGUGGCGAACGGGUGAGGAACACGUGAGAAAUCUGCCUUCAACUCUGGGAUAACUCCGGGAAACCGGGGCUAAUACCGGAUAUGAGCCUUGAUCGCAUGAUCGGGGCUGGAAAGUUUUUCGGUUGAAGAUGAUCUCGCGGCCUAUCAGCUUGUUGGUGAGGUAACGGCUCACCAAGGCUACGACGGGUAUCCGGCCUGAGAGGGCGACCGGACACACUGGGACUGAGACACGGCCCAGACUCCUACGGGAGGCAGCAGUGGGGAAUAUUGGGCAAUGGGCGAAAGCCUGACCCAGCGACGCCGCGUGAGGGAUGAAGGCCUUCGGGUUGUAAACCUCUUUCAGCAGGGAAGAAGCGAAAGUGACGGUACCUGCAGAAGAAGCACCGGCUAACUAUGUGCCAGCAGCCGCAGUAA
rnacentral:rRNA from 1 species